rnacentral:rRNA from 1 species
UACGUAGGGGGCAAGCGUUGUCCGGAUUUAUUGGGCGUAAAGAGCGUGUAGGCGGCCUUGCAAGUCCGUUGUGAAACUCGAGCUCAACCUCGAGACGCCGGUGGAAACUGCAAAGUUAGAGUCCGGAAGAGGAGAGUGGAAUUCCUGGUGUAGCGGUGAAAUGCGCAGAUAUCAGGAGGAACACCCGUGGCGAAAGCGGCUCUCUGGAACGCAACUGACGCUGAGACGCGAAAGCGUGGGGAGCAAACAGG